rnacentral:rRNA from 1 species
CCUACGGGAGGCAGCAGGGGGGAAUAUUGGACAAUGGGCGCAAGCCUGAUCCAGCCAUGCCGCGUGAGUGAUGAAGGCCUUAGGGUUGUAAAACACUUUCAACGGUGAAGAUAAUGACGGUAACCGUAGAAGAAACCCCGGCUAACUCCGUGCCAGCAGCCGCGGUAAUACGAAGGGGGUUAGCGUUGUUCGGAAUUACUGGGCGUAAAGCGCACGUAGGCGGAUUAAUAAGUUAGAGGUGAAAUCCCGGGGCUCAACCCCGGAACUGCCUUUAAUACUGUUAGUCUAGAGAUCGAGAGAGGUGAGUGGAAUUCCGAGUGUAGAGGUGAAAUUCGUAGAUAUUCGGAGGAACACCAGUGGCGAAGGCGGCUCACUGGCUCGAUACUGACGCUGAGGUGCGAAAGCGUGGGG